AGUGUGUGUGUGUGUGUGUGUGUGUGUGUAUGUGUGUGUGUGUGUAUGUGUGUGUGUGUGUGUGUGUGUGUGUGUGUGUGUGUGUGUGUGUGUGUUAUGAGCUUGCAGGUGGUAUUCAUGAAAAACUUUCCUCCAUGUGCAAAGGGUGGAAAAUAUCUAAUAUUGGUAACAAAUUCAAGAAAUACCUUUGUGUAGAGAAAAAUUGAAGGAGGAACUGAAGGGAAGAGUAUAAAAUCUGGAACCAUUCAGUUCUAUAAAGGUGGAGAAUUUUACUCAAUACGAGGUUCCAGUAGUGAAUUCCACAAAGGAUUGGCCUAAGGAGGCAAAUUGAAGUCAGCAGCAAAGUGCUUCAUGAGACUGCCUACAGUAGGGAAUCCAUCACCAUUUGUUCAGAAGAUACAGACUGAUUUUAAUAUUAUCUCAAUAUUAUCUAGCAGCAUGUCUCUCAGGAAAAGGACUAUUGAUAUUGAUGGCUGGGGUAGAACUUUAUGGUGUCAUUCCUCUAUUUAGCUCCAAGGUCAAACAUUAGCUCUGCUGUUCUCCAUAUAGUAUGUAGGAAAAAGACAUCCAUCUCAUAUUCCUAAAAACGCGAUGUCUCUCUGUGAAGUAAUAACUCUUCACAGGAAUAAGCUGGUAGCUAUGAGCCUGUAUGCUCCUUGUACGCAUAAUGAAUUCUGUAUAUACUGGCAUUCCCAGACUUCUUCCUUCUCUUUACCCCACGCCCUUCAGCAAGAGCAUGCUUGCCCAAGAAUGUGGGUAACAGAACCUGUUUUUACUAGCUUCCAAGCAGGGAUUUCACAAUUUAGUAUAUGGAUUCUAUUAGAAAAGCAUUGAGUACUUUAAGAUUAAAUGAACUCCUUUGUUCUACUUCCUCAAUAUUAUGAUGCAAAGAGCUCCACAAAUCGUCAUACUUACUGUUCUGCAAUACUCUGUGGCUCCUCAGUGUCAGUCCCCAGAGCCCAGACUUCAGAUCAUUCCUCAGGCUCAAAAGUGGCAAGGAACCCAGAAGAGUAGGCUAUCAACACAACUUGAAAUCACGCUAGAUCACACUUUAUUGUAAUGUCUACUACAUAUUCUGAAACUUAUUAUGUUCAUCUGUACACUGACACUUGAUCCGCCAGUAUGCUAUCCCAUUCUAAUCUGAUGAGAAACAGCAGGUGGAUGAUUUAAUCAGUAUAGAUUAUCAUGAGACACAUAAAUCACUCCCUUAACCAAUGAAUAAUUAUUUGCCUGGUUAAGAGAGCUAAGCUUUAGUAUCACAGAAUGUAAAAAAUGUAAAACAUAUUUCAAAAACUGUAGCCCAUUGUUGUUCAAAGGUAUCUUGAGAAGUGUGUAGGGUAGAAUGAACAUAGAGCCCAGGAGGAUUCUAGCAUUCUAUCUAUGUGAAGUCAAUCUACAAACUUGAUAUUAUUGCAUACUUCUAAUUCAUCAUAUAUGCACCUUCUCACAUGAAGGCUUAUGCAAAUUUCCAUGGCACUAAAAAUCCAGGGUUCAGUAUAUUCCUUUAUAUAAUCAGAGCCUACUGAUGGUUAGAAUAUAUAAAUAAAAGCCUGAAUUGCCACAUUGAAGAGAAGGUGUGAGUUCUUAUCACUGAACAAACAUAAAAAGAUGGUUAACAAGUACUAUAUAAUGAAGCCCGAGGAAAUAGUUCAGUGGUUAUAAGUACCUGUUAUUUUUAUAGAACCCAAUUCGUAGCACCCAUGAGCAGCAGUUUACAACAGCCUGUAACUCCAGCUCCAGGAGAUUUCAUGCUCCAUUCAUCAUUGCAGGCUCUCACAUUCACAUGUACAUACACAUACAUACCCAUAAACAUAAUUAGUGAUAAAAAUAAAUCUCCUUUUUAAAGUACUGUAUAGUUAGUAUACACCAAUCAGCAUCCUAGUUAAUUCAUCCAAACCUUAUACUGAGUUCUGAAUUGAGUAGCAACUGUCACUUCAAUUUAAAGAAGAAAAUAUAGGAUUCACAUAAGGCAAGAACACAAAAGGUUCACAGUUGCACAGCAGUAAACAGCAAAACCAGAUCUGAAGUGUAGGAAUGGCCCCAGAGUCCUCGUUUUACAACCAGUACUGUGCAAAGCCAUUGCUCCACAUUUGUACCCGAUCCUUGAGUAUAUAUUCAAGGCAAAACUUUUGUUAUAUUUAUUCAGUUUUAAUCACUCCAACCUCAAUGUCAUAACAGCAGAAAGCUAAUAAUCCCCAUCUUGUAAAAUCCACCCCCCCAAAAAAAAUUAUAAAAGCACUUGGGAGGAAAGAGCCAUUUACUUGCAAACAUACACAGGAUAUAAGAACUCCACCGUCCUGCAGUGAUGUGGAAUUACUACUUAGAAACAUCAUUUCUAUGGCGUGAUGAGAGUCCUUCAAUGAUGAAUAAAGCUGAGAGUAUACAGCCCAUGGCUCAAGGGCUGUACUCCUCCAAUCAUUCAUAUCUUUAUUUUAAGAUGUUGCUCUCAAAUUCAAUCUACUGUUCUCUGGAAUAACUAAUUGAAGAGGCCUCAUUCUUCUGAAACUUAGUCAAGAGCCUAAAGGGAACCCUCAAUAGAAAAUGUAAUUUGCGUAGAGUCUUGUUUACUGCAUGCCUUAGAUAGUUUAAGAAACUUUCACAUGAAACUUGAUAUGGACUUAAAAAGACUCACCAUGGCUAAUUAACUAAAGGAACUCUUCUUUUCAAUGCUUAAUAAAAAGAAACAAUGAUGUAAUCAAUGUUCUAGGAAUUACCUGUUCCUCAACAGUGUCUGCCCUAGACCCUUGUAGAAGCGUCUCAAAAGUGAAGUUGGUGCCUCGCCUUAAAGCAUCAGCAUGGUAUUAUAAGCAAAUUCUCUGAGGGAAGGUCUGUGCUGUCACCAGUUUAGGCCCAGGAUGGGCAAGGAAGGAGCAUGGCUGAGAAUAUCACACGCUUCUAAUAAGUAUGUAUGCUUUACAGGAUGCUUUCAGGGCCAUGCACCUGGAUCUGGGCAUGGUGAAGCUGUAUCUUAAGCCACUACUCAUUGGAGAACUUUCUCCAGAAGAACCAAGCC
rnacentral:lncRNA from 1 species